rnacentral:rRNA from 1 species
AUUGAACGCUGGCGGCAUGCCUUACACAUGCAAGUCGAACGGUGACAGGUCUUCGGAUGCUGACGAGUGGCGAACGGGUGAGUAAUACAUCGGAACGUGCCUAGUAGUGGGGGAUAACUACUCGAAAGAGUGGCUGAUACCGCAUGAGAUCUACGGAUGAAAGCAGGGGAUCGCAAGACCUUGUGCUACUAGAGCGGCCGAUGGCAGAUUAGGUAGUUGGUGGGAUAAAAGCUUACCAAGCCGACGAUCUGUAGCUGGUCUGAGAGGACGAUCAGCCACACUGGGACUGAGACACGGCCCAGACUCCUACGGGAGGCAGCAGUGGGGAAUUUUGGACAAUGGGCGAAAGCCUGAUCCAGCAAUGCCGCGUGCAGGAUGAAGGCCUUCGGGUUGUAAACUGCUUUUGUACGGAACGAAAAGCCCCGGGUUAAUACCCUGGGGUCAUGACGGUACCGUAAGAAUAAGCACCGGCUAACUACGUGCCAGCCGCCGCAGUAA